ACGCUCGACACCUACGGGAGGCAGCAGUAGGGAAUUUUCGGCAAUGGGACGAAAGCCGUAGACCGAGACAACGCCGCGGUAGAACGGGAAGAAGUCGAAUUACGGUUGGAUUGGUUAAAAACCUUCUUGUUAUUAAAAGGGAAAGAAAACGGGCCGCCUACGUAAGGGAAUAGACACGGGCGAAGUGACGGUACCUUUAUGAGGAACGCCGACGGCUAACUACGUCGCCAACAGCCGCGGUAAUCUGAGCGGGCUGGCAAGGC
rnacentral:rRNA from 1 species